rnacentral:rRNA from 1 species
GGAUUAGAUACCCUGGUAGUCCAUGCAGUAAACGAUGAGUGCUAGAUGUUGGGAAUUUAAAUUUCCAGUAUCGCAGUUAACGCGUUAAGCACUCCGCCUGGGAAGUACGGCCGCAAGGCUAAAACUCAAAUGAAUUGACGGGGACCCGCACAAGCGGUGGAUCAUGUGGUUUAAUUCGAAGAUACGCGAAGAACCUUACCGGCCCUUGACAUACCAAUCGCGGACUUAAGAGAUUAAGUCUUUCACUUCGGGUGGAUUGGAUACAGGUGCUGCAUGGCUGUCGUCAGCUCGUGCCG